rnacentral:piRNA from 1 species
AAUUGGAGUUCUUACAAGAUGGCAGACAUU